AACUUGGUUAAAACAAAAUCAAGAAAUAAGUUAAUAACUAAUAAAAUCAAUGGUUGUUUAUUAACGUCUCAGUGUGUGAAAAAAGAUGGUAACUGCGUAGAUUUUACACCUACUCAGAAUAUUAUCGAAGUUGAUGAAGAUGAAUUUGUCAUAGACGGUUGAAAUAUAAAUUUUUUUUAUAGAAUAAAUAUACCUGAUCAUCACACA